rnacentral:rRNA from 1 species
GCUGGCGGACUUAGCGCGGUGGUCCCACCUGACCCCAUGCCGAACUCAGAAGUGAAACGCCGUAGCGCCGAUGGUAGUGUGGGGUCUCCCCAUGCGAGAGUAGGGAACUGCCAGGC